UUACAGGCGUGAGCCACCGCGCCCGGCCGAGGCUCAAUCUUUGUUUCACUUUAUUUCUCAGAAGAGAAUGACAAGAAGGUAUCUCCUGUGGAAUAUGCACUUAUCACUCCUAAUUCACUGAGACGCAGUAGACCCGAAUGAUCUAAAGAAGAGUUUACUUUUGGAAGAUUAUGAGAAGAGGAAAGUAAGAGUGAAAGCAAUAGUGUUAUGUGACUUGAUCUCCAUUUGAAAUCCUCUCCUCGUCUGACUAGUUUGUUUUCCAGUCAGCCUUAUUACCUAUUCACACACUGAUUGCCAAAUAAGCUCCAUGAGGCUCAUAGGUGGAAGGAACUUGCAUCUCUUGGAUGAGAC